CAGGCAGUAGCUCAGUGGUAGUGUUCCCGCUUCGUAUGUGGGAAGACCUGGUUUCAAUUCCCGGCUGCUUAC
rnacentral:tRNA from 1 species